AGAGCUACAAUCUCUAUUGAUCAAUUUCCUGUUUUAAGACGGUAAGUUGUUUCCCCUCUUUCUCUGUACGUUCUUGGGCCAUGAUCAUGCAAUGACUUCUUUUUGCAUGUAUCUUGUUGUUUUUCUCUUCAAUUUAUAGCUGAAAUUAGGUUCUAAGGUUGAUUUCCUAUAACCAACUAGUGAUUUGUAAGUAGGGAUGACAAAA
rnacentral:lncRNA from 1 species